GGUAGGCAGUGACAGAGGGGACAGUCCAUUUGAGAAUGUGCAUAGAGGAACUCUGUGCACAUAGACACAGGCAAACACAUAGAUGUAUGUGCGUAUACAGCACACAUCCAGCAUACACACCAUACCCCUAGACAGAAGGGUAAAUAGACUCCUGAGACUGCCAAAUGACGAAGCGAAAACUGUCCAGAAUUCAGCUGAAGUAUGACUUGCCCUUUGAUGUGACUGGAAGAUUUGCUGUGUCAGUUUAAGAUGGAGAAAUGAGCACAGAGGAAAUGAUGAGAGGUGGAGCAAGAACCCUUGAAGUGAAGUAAAAAGUAAAAAACAAUUAUAAUAUGGAGGGCGUUCUUGUAAACUGUAUGGGAUUUGUAGAGUUCAGUUCUGUUGAUGAUCCUAUUCUGUCUGUGAUUUGUUAUCAUUAUUCUUCCCAUUACAUCAUGUUACGUCUAUGCUGCUGUUGGAUACGGAGCACAGACAGUAGGAUUUUUUUUCCAGCUAGUAAGCAGAGUAUGAGUUUGUGAGUGGGUCAACUUUGGAUUAUGGGGUUCAUGGUGGUAGGCUUUUGUUAAAAGAAAAUAAAAUGAGACUCCUCUUGAGGUAUUUGAUGAGAGAGAGAAAACUAAGACAACUCUAAUUCCAAGGAAGCCUGAUCUUCUCUUUGAUAAGACAAGGUAGCAAUGAAUGUAUUGGCAGCUUUUUCUCGGAGUCGAGAAAUCACAGGCAUGCAUAUAAAAGAGCUUGUAAAGCCAGUGGCUCUGAAAGACAUGUCACAUCUGUAGGACAUCAUAGUGAGUCCUUGUUUCCAUUACUGGGAUACAUCCACUGCUGCAGUUAAACAUCUCAGGACUGAGAAGAUGUUUCACACACUGGUAUCUGUUCGGAAGGUGGGGACAUCUGCUGUCUGUCAUGUAAUUGGGAGAUGUUUUUCUCAACAGUAGGCAAUAAUAAUAUAGUAAGCCAAACCUCAUAUUAUCAUGAUGCAUUAAAACUAGAUUAAUGAAAGCUAUAAAAUCAAAGAAACAGUGAAUGCUUAUGCAACACAUUAGGUAAUAUUUACUCCAAUAUUGGAAUGAAGCAAUCAUUUCACAAUUAGAGCAUAUUUCGAGAUACCUGUUCCAAGAAGGAAGAGACAAGAUUCAAAAUUGGUUCAAGAUACCACUAACAAGUGAGCUGGGCAGAGAUGAGCGCAUCGGCUGUGGAGCAUACAAUACACUGCUUCUUCUUGUGUGGGUUGCUUUUUGCCACCCCAGCUUUUACAUUUGGAAGAAAUGUUCUCUCCUACGGUGUUAGAAGUCGCUGUCUCCUGUUCAUUUCCUCUUCUGAUGUGUGUGGCUUUAUGCCCUCCUGGUGGAAGCCACUGUAUCCCACAUGCUGGGUGAGGAGGAAAGGUGAUGGACAGAUCAUCCCAGACUGAAGCAACCUCCCGGUGUCCCUGCCACUGCAUGGCUGGCCAUCUUGUCAUCCUGGUAGCUUUUAGGAUGGCCUCCUGCUACGGCACCUCUGGAGAGGUGCAUCCUGGCAGCUUGGAUGUUAUGGGGGGCAUUUGUGUCCCACUGUUAGGUGGAUUCCGGGAUAGGCGAAGAGCAGGUGGGUGGUAUGUGAGGAAACAUGAAAUUCAAAGUCUGGAUGCUUUGUGUGCUUAGACUAUAUAAAACUCAAGUUAUCAUUGUGUCACAGGUAGCAAACAGAAAAAAA
rnacentral:lncRNA from 1 species